rnacentral:rRNA from 1 species
UACGAAGGGGGCUAGCGUUGCUCGGAAUCACUGGGCGUAAAGCGCACGUAGGCGGAUUGUUAAGUCAGGGGUGAAAUCCUGGAGCUCAACUCCAGAACUGCCUUUGAUACUGGCGAUCUCGAGUCCGGGAGAGGUGAGUGGAACUGCGAGUGUAGAGGUGAAAUUCGUAGAUAUUCGCAAGAACACCAGUGGCGAAGGCGGCUAACUGGUCCAGUACUGACGCUGAGGUGCGAAAGCGUGGGGAGCAAACAGG